rfam:Paenibacillus sp. FSL H8-0548 NODE_4_length_267208_cov_2.00112_ID_11270, whole genome shotgun sequence.
UUAUAUUCGAUGACGAGAAAGAGUACGUUAUGGGCCUGAUCAAACAGAGAGUUGGGGCAGCUGAAAACCAACGUUCGGGUACUAGCGGAAAGCCAUCUCUGAGAAGCGGGCUGAACGAGAGUAAGCUCUGCCGCAUUUCCAGCGUUAACGGGAACAUGUAUUGAUAGAUACAUGAGCAGAGUGUCGCGCUUUGGCGUGAAACUAGGGUGGUAACACGGGUGGAGACUCGUCCCUUUA